rnacentral:hammerhead_ribozyme from 1 species
AUCCAGUUGACUAGUCCUAAAUAGGACGAAAUACGCAUUCUAGAU